UACGGAGGGUGCAAACGUUGCUCGGAAUCAUUGGGCGUAAAGCGCACGUAGGCGGCUCGUUAAGUCGGAUGUGAAAGCCCUCGGCUCAACCGAGGAAGUGCAUACGAAACUGGCGAGCUUGAAUAUGGAAGAGGGUCGCGGAAUUCCCGGUGUAGAGGUGAAAUUCGUAGAUAUUCGCAAGAACACCAGUGGCGAAGGCGGCUCACUGGCCCGGUACUGACGCUGAGGUGCGAAAGCGUGGGGAGCAAACAGG
rnacentral:rRNA from 1 species